ncrna:Manduca sexta (tobacco hornworm) microRNA mse-mir-6096 precursor (mse-mir-6096-1, mse-mir-6096-2)
AGAACAUCAUUGUCGGUGGCCUGACUCAUAAUAAUUGGAUCAUGUCGUCAAAUAUUAUGAGGUCGGUCAACGACAGUGGCGAUCA